rnacentral:rRNA from 1 species
GACGAAGGGGGCUAGCGUUGCUCGGAAUUACUGGGCGUAAAGGGCGCGUAGGCGGCCUUCUAAGUCGGACGUGAAAUCCCUCGGCUUAACCGAGGAAGCUGCGUCCGAUACUGAAAGGCUUGAAUCCGGGAGAGGGAUGUGGAAUUCCAGGUGUAGCGGUGAAAUGCGUAGAUAUCGGGAGGAACACCGGUGGCGAAGGCGGCUAUCUGGACCGACAUUGACGCUGAGGCGCGAAAGCGUGGGGAGCAAACAGG